CUGUUUUAACUACUUCCGCCGCUAAGCCACGAGCUCGGGUCUACGAGGGCUUUAGAAGCAGCAGGCGAGCAAUGAGCCCUACGCUUGUUUAGGACGACCGCGCAGACGACGCCUUGCCCCUUUUUCCCAACAUAAGCUAUAUGUCAUCCUUUGUUACCUCGAAAACACCCGGUCUAGCAUGCGCCCCUUUCCGGGCAAAGCGAACGGUCAAUACCAGGCACCUGGUCCUGCAAACCAAAACAUGGCUCGGUACCUAGUCUUUUCACACGUCGGGCAAACCUAUUUUGCCGCUGUAGACCUCAGCAGAGGUGGGGAGAUGGGCGUCUUUAGUGGAGACAAGGCGGAAGUACCUAAUGCCCUCCUGUCCGCCGCCGCGAACUAGACAUGGUCUUUGAUCUUCUACCUUCUAACACACGUACUCAAGAACGAACUACGGCACCUGUCAAUCAAGGGCCCCCUAGAUUAUACAAAAAACCCCAUUCGUCACAGUCGUCCGUGCGGCCCUCUUUAUUCGAUUGCGACCGGUACUGGCCGCGACCAACGGUGAACUCUAGUCCAAGGGCGAGGCCCUCCUCAAGCGGCUAUCGAACCUAGUGUGUCUAGGUCGCGGAGACCGGAAAGACGACCUCUCGAACCGGUUGCCACCUCAGGGCCGCCUGAGUUUGUUACCCAGACCAAUGCCCGUCGUCUAGCCGUCGCGACAGGGCCUCUCUCGUGUGCCCCACCACGCGGCAGCAGGCCUACGAAGAGGACGAACCAACCGCGUCAGUUGACUGUCUUAGUUGGCCGUUCGGGGGCGACCUGCUUUUCCAGACUUGGGGUUUGUGACAGUAACAUCUUAACGUAAACAAGUCUCACAAACGGGGUGCAAGUAUAUAGGUUUGUUUUAUUAUUAUAGACUCGAGUGUCAUCAUGCUUAUUUUUUACGUCCUUGACUAGAUACAUCGUCACCUUUACAUUUGGUACCAUCCGCUAGCAUUGUCAUAUCGACGACAUUGAUGAAAAUACGUUUAAGACCUUCAUAAAAUGAUAACUUCCGGCCAAACAUUUAAAUCCAAUACUGAGCCAUCACGUGGUGGUCUGUCCUGAGGUACGGGUAGUGCCUACUCACGUAACCUUGUUAGAUAAGCCUUCAUACGCCUUGGAUACUUUUCAAAUCAUGUAGGGUGUGAUCCGGAUUCAAAGUUAAGUAACACGCUCCGCUGAAGAUAUUCUCGGCCGAUUUGCGGCUUUCCUGUUUCAGUUACGUUCUUUAACAGACGCCGACGAGCCAUUUGUGACUAAGUACAUUAAUAGUAAAACCUUUUAUUCACCGUCGGUACCCAAAGCCACGACGUUCACACAAAUUUACUACCGUAAACACAAAAAUACUUUAAUAUGACCCCUUUGGUCUCCGUCUCUUAUCAUCAAGUACGGUGACACUCACAGGACGUAAAUAUUCCGACGUCGCGUGCUGGCUGUUGUCAACCAUGUAUUAUCUGGUUCCUGUACCGGGUGCUGUUUAUAUUGUUUCCGAUAGACCUUUGUUAUAAAAAGAUCGAACGACCUUAAGAGCAACUACAGCGGGUUUUCCUUGAGAAGACGACGCGCGUUCGACACUUGGGGAUAGAACAAGUAAAGUUCAUUAUGGAUAUUCUUGAUUUAACGAAGUCCCAAAUACAACCGUAGGCACGGAAACUAAAACGCUACUGGCGUUCCCUAGGGUUUUUGGAACAUAUGUAGGAGUCGGGUCUUGAACUCCUGGAACGACAGACAGUCGUGAUAGAGAGAGGUUGACUGUGAAUGGGACGAGUAAUAGGUUCUCUUCCAUUGUUGUCUUCGACUAUUACGUACAUAAUGUACAUUUUAUCCUCACCUUCUCCACAACAGGUCGAUGUACUUCUUAACAUAACAAGUCAAUUUUAAAUUCCUUCUCUUAUUCUCUAUGCCACUCAAGGACAAGUUAGGUAAAAACAACGGAUAGUACGGAAGUAACUUGGCUUUUUUACCUGAUACUGUUCUUAUCUUUUCAAAUAUAAAUCCGUAAAGACGUUUUGUCGUCUGUGUGCUAGUAGUGUUUGUCGUACUCUUGGUGAACUAGAACCUGAAGACUUCUACGCAGACCGGACGCGUCGAGUUGAAACGGUAUCCGGUUGACCGUAGGCGACCGCUGUUUCGAAUCCGUAUCAGACCAGAACUUCGACGAGCGUCCUGAGUAACCGAAGGGCUCGAAGGGUAGUGGCGGAUCUAGGUCGACAAGUAGAAAAAAGCAUUAUAGGACUAGUACAGGUAACACCGACGAACAUUUCACUACCUCCUUUACUGUCAGUAGCGGCUUCGCCAUCAGCGACGACGACGCGUAACUGUUUUUUUUAAUCUAGGUGGCGUUCCUCUUACUCUCUUUUAUUAGGUCGACAACGUUUCACUAACGUCCGUCGUUAAAAAACAACAUCUAUGUUUUCCAAUAACAAGUGUUGUACGGUAGGAAAGUCUUUUUCUAAACGAAAAGCUUACCUUGUCGAACUAUAAAUACUGGUGUCUUUUAAUUGGACCUCCUGGACCACAUAUAGAAGAAACUAAACAAUUUACGGUUGUUUCAGUCACUUAGAAAAUUGACUUCCCUGACCAAUGUACGAGGUUAUGAUGAAAGUUUACGUUUUUUACAAAACUCUGUAGUUACGUACUAAGAUCAACAAGGGUACCUGACAACCACACCUUCGUCUAACUUACGGCUCUCCUGUUUCAGUUACGUCCUCUAGCAAACACCGACAGGCCCAUUCGGUCUACGUCUCUUAUCUUCCAGCACAUCUACGUUAACUGGACGUAACUAUGCCGAUGACACCCGCCGACUGUUAUCAACCAUAUAUUAUCUCGUAGUACUCUUAGUGUCGGUUCGUGUGUCUACACAUGUGCUUACUAGAUUAUGUCGGUCUACUUCGCCGCGUCCUAUUACCGCUCCCACUUCAACAGGAGUACCUAGCGUUUCCGCCUUGCUCGACGUUCGUCCUUUACCCGCACCUGAGUUCAACGCCAAGAAAACCUUCUUCCAAAGCCGCUAAAGGGUUGGAGGCCGUACGUCCAGCUUAUUUCACAACGAUAUUGACUACAUUUUUUUGCUAGGGACUGGCACAUACACAACUAACUGGAAUCACUGUGAACGAGUGUGCUUCUCCUCCAACCAUCGUAGAGUACAUUCGCAUCCGUCUGUUUCUCAACCAAAACAACUAACAGACACAGCGACAUAAAAAAGCCAGAGCGUACAUCUCGAGACCGCAUCAAUGACACCACACGUAAAACCCUCGUGAACAACUUCCGUUAUCAGACCAUACGCACUCGAUCGAAAAAACUAACAGCUUUGGUAACCACAACAUUACAUGCUGCAACAACGGCCUC
rnacentral:rRNA from 1 species